CUAGUAACGGCGAGUGAAGAGGGAAGAGCCCAAGAUUGAAAGCUGGCGUCUUCGGCGUCCGCAUUGUAAUCUCAAGAAGUGUUUUCCGCUCCGGACCAUGCCCAAGUCCUUUGGAAAAAGGCAUCAUAGAGGGUGAUAGUCCCGUCCAUGGCAUGGAGCGCCCGGAGCUUUGUGAUACGCUUUCUAAGAGUCGAGUUGUUUGGGAAUGCAGCUCAAAAUGGGUGGUAAAUGCCAUCUAAGGCUAAAUAUUGGGGAGAGACCGAUAGCGAACAAGUACAGUGAUGGAAAGAUGAAAAGCACUUUGAAAAGAGAGUUAAACAGUACGUGAAAUUGCCAAAAGGGAAGGGUAGGAGGUCAGAGAUGCGUCUUGGGAUUCAGCCUUGCAUUUUUGCUUGGUGUUUUUCCCAAGCUGCAGGCCAACGUCGGUUUUGGGCACUGGAGAAGGGUGGAAGGAACGUGGCACCCUUCGGGGUGUGUUAU
rnacentral:rRNA from 1 species